GCCCAGUUACAAGACAAAGAACAAAAGUCCUGGGGGAACGUCACCAGCACAGUCAUCUCCACACAUGCAAAGGUCCCUUCUGCCUUUUUUUUUUCCCCUUUGAAAUUUCAAAUUCCAGUUUGUGGACAAAGUCCUGCCUAUCUGAGAAUAUAGAUCUCCGACCACUGACCAAACUCCAGUCCAAGCAGUCCCGAGGACUGCUCUUCCCCUUGCCCACAGAUGCCUCUGCUCAGUCCUUGGAUCUGCCAGGAUCGUGCUGAAAUUUUGCACUGGAGCACAGCACUGGUACUUGCACAAAGAGGAUUUUUCACUUAAUGUCAGCAGCUCCCUUUCUGGGAAGGACCAUCAGGAAUAACCAGGAGCGUGCAGAAUGCCUGAACAGCCUGUGUUGUCCCCAGAGGACACUGUUGUCCCCAGUGUCCCAGUUGCCAGAGCACAACAAGGGGUGAGUAGGAGCCAAACAGGACCCAGGGGUUCUGUGUCCACAGCAGCUGUGCAGCCCUGCAGCCCGUGGCCACCACAUACCCCCCUGUACAAGACAACCAUCCUGUCCACUGCCAGGGACACAAAAACACAGCAGAAAGCAAGGUAUGGGAACAUGGGAGUCUUCUCCAUGGGGAACAGCAAGGGAAGGGGAUCACAGGUCUCCGCAGUCCCAGGAACCCAUGGCCAGGACACUGCUGUGCCAGCUGCAACCAAACAUGGGAAACUGCUAAUUAGCCUUUGAGUAUUUGACCUGUGUCUCCACGACUGGAUAACACUAUUAUUUUUCCUUUUGCAUUCCUGUAAGACCCAGUGCCAUUGGCCUUUUGUAUCAUAAAAAUAUUAAACUAUAUUAUGACCAUAAACUA